rnacentral:rRNA from 1 species
AGAGUUUGAUCCUGGCUCAGGACGAACGCUGGCGGCGCGCCUAAUACAUGCAAGUCGAACGAGUACGCACUUCGGUGCAAUGUACGAGUGGCGAACGGGUGAGUAACACGUGAGAAACCUGCCUCGGAGACCGGGACAACCAUUGGAAACGAUGGCUAAUACCGGAUGUCCUUUUACGGUCGCAUGACUGUUUGAGGAAAUGAUCCGUCGCUCCGGGAGGGUCUCGCGGCCUAUCAGCUUGUUGGUGAGGUAAUGGCUCACCAAGGCAUCGACGGGUAGCUGGUCUGAGAGGACGAUCAGCCACACUGGAACUGAGACACGGUCCAGACACCUACGGGUGGCAGCAGUCGAGAAUUUUUCACAAUGGGGGAAACCCUGAUGGAGCGACGCCGCGUGGAGGAUGACGGUUUUCGGAUUGUAAACUCCUGUCAUUAGAGAACAAUGCACAUGGUUUAACUGACUAUGUGUUGAUAGUAUCUGAAGAGGAAGGGACGGCUAACUCUGUGCCAGCAGCCGCGGUAAUACAGAGGUCUCAAGCGUUGUUCGGAUUCAUUGGGCGUAAAGGGUGCGUAGGUGGCGAUGUAAGUCGGAUGUGAAAUCUCUGGGCUCAACCUAGAAACUGCAUUCGAUACUGCGUUGCUAGAGGAUUGUAGAGGGCAUUGGAAUUCACGGUGUAGCAGUGAAAUGCGUAGAUAUCGUGAGGAAGACCAGUGGCGAAGGCGAAUGCCUGGGCAAUUCCUGACACUGAGGCACGAAGGCUAGGGUAGCGAAAGGGAUUAGAUACCCCUGUAGUCCUAGCAGUAAACGGUGCUCGCUUGGUGUGGGAGGGUUCGACCCCUUCUGUGCCGGAGCUAACGCGUUAAGCGAGCCGCCUGGGAAGUACGGUCGCAAGACUAAAACUCAAAGAAAUUGACGGGGACCCGCACAAGCGGUGGAGUAUGUGGCUUAAUUCGAUGCAACGCGAAGAACCUUACCUAGGCUUGACAUGCUUGUCGUAUUCUCCCGAAAAGGAGAAGUCGCUUCGGGCGGACAAUGCACAGGUGCUGCAUGGCCGUCGUCAGCUCGUGUCGUGAGAUGUUUGGUUAAGUCCAGCAACGAGCGCAACCCCUGUGAACUGUUGCCAGCGGAUAAUGCCGGGGACUCUGUUCAGACUGCCCAGAUCAACUGGGAGGAAGGUGGGGACGACGUCAGGUCAGUAUGGCCCUUACGCCUAGGGCUGCACACGUACUACAAUGCCCAGCACAAUGAGAACCAAUACCGCGAGGUGGAGGAAAUCUGUAAAACUGGGCCCAGUUCGGAUUGGAGGCUGCAACUCGCCUCCAUGAAGUUGGAAUCGCUAGUAAUGCCGUAUCAGCUACGACGGCGUGAAUACGUUCCCGGGUCUUGUACACACCGCCCGUCACAUCAUGGAAGUCGGUCGCACCCGAAGUAUAUGCGCUAACUCCUCGGAGAAGCAGUAUCCUAAGGUGAGGCUGGUAACUGGGAUGAAGUCGUAACAAGGUAGCCGUAGGGGAACCUGCGGCUG